rnacentral:rRNA from 1 species
GGACGAAUGCUGGCGGCGUGCUUAACACAUGCAAGUGGAGCGACGAACCAGGCUUCGGCCUGGGGCAGAGCCGCGAACGGGUGAGUAACACGUGGGUAACGUGCCCCGAUGACUGGGACAACCCGGGGAAACCCGGGCUAAUACCGGAUAUGCCCCCUCACGCGAGUGAGGUGUGUAAAGGAAGCUUCGGCCUCCGCAUCGGGAUCGGCCCGCGGCCCAUUAGCUUGUUGGUGAGGUAACGCUCACCAAGGCUUCGAUGGGUAGCUGGUCUGAGAGGACGAUCAGCCACACUGGGACUGAGACACGGCCCAGACUCCUACGGGAGGCAGCAGUGGGGAAUCUUAGCGCAAUGCGCGAAAGCGUGACGCAGCAACGCCGCGU